rnacentral:rRNA from 1 species
UACGGAGGGUGCAAGCGUUGUCCGGAAUCACUGGGCGUAAAGGGCGCGUAGGCGGCUCAUGAAGGCUGUGGUGAAAGUCCGGGGCUCAACCUCGGAUCGGCCGUGGCGACUCGUGGGCUGGAGCACUGUAGAGGCGGGUGGAAUUCCGGGUGUAGCGGUGGAAUGCGUAGAUAUGCGGAGGAACACCGAUGGCGAAGGCAAUCCCCUGGGCCUGCACUGACGCUCAUGUACGAAAGCGUGGGGAGCAAACAGG